AUGGCUCAGAUUGAACGCUGGCGGCAGGCCUAACACAUGCAAGUCGAGCGGAAACGAGUUAUCUGAACCUUCGGGGAACGAUAACGGCGUCGAGCGGCGGACGGGUGAGUAAUGCCUAGGAAAUUGCCCUGAUGUGGGGGAUAACCAUUGGAAACGAUGGCUAAUACCGCAUGAUGCCUACGGGCCAAAGAGGGGGACCUUCGGGCCUCUCGCGUCAGGAUAUGCCUAGGUGGGAUUAGCUAGUUGGUGAGGUAAGGGCUCACCAAGGCGACGAUCCCUAGCUGGUCUGAGAGGAUGAUCAGCCACACUGGAACUGAGACACGGUCCAGACUCCUACGGGAGGCAGCAGUGGGGAAUAUUGCACAAUGGGCGCAAGCCUGAUGCAGCCAUGCCGCGUGUGUGAAGAAGGCCUUCGGGUUGUAAAGCACUUUCAGUCGUGAGGAAGGUAGUGUAGUUAAUAGCUGCAUUAUUUGACGUUAGCGACAGAAGAAGCACCGGCUAACUCCGUGCCAGCAGCCGCGGUAAUACGGAGGGUGCGAGCGUUAAUCGGAAUUACUGGGCGUAAAGCGCAUGCAGGUGGUUUGUUAAGUCAGAUGUGAAAGCCCGGGGCUCAACCUCGGAAUAGCAUUUGAAACUGGCAGACUAGAGUACUGUAGAGGGGGGUAGAAUUUCAGGUGUAGCGGUGAAAUGCGUAGAGAUCUGAAGGAAUACCGGUGGCGAAGGCGGCCCCCUGGACAGAUACUGACACUCAGAUGCGAAAGCGUGGGGAGCAAACAGGAUUAGAUACCCUGGUAGUCCACGCCGUAAACGAUGUCUACUUGGAGGUUGUGGCCUUGAGCCGUGGCUUUCGGAGCUAACGCGUUAAGUAGACCGCCUGGGGAGUACGGUCGCAAGAUUAAAACUCAAAUGAAUUGACGGGGGCCCGCACAAGCGGUGGAGCAUGUGGUUUAAUUCGAUGCAACGCGAAGAACCUUACCUACUCUUGACAUCCAGAGAACUUUCCAGAGAUGGAUUGGUGCCUUCGGGAGCUCUGAGACAGGUGCUGCAUGGCUGUCGUCAGCUCGUGUUGUGAAAUGUUGGGUUAAGUCCCGCAACGAGCGCAACCCUUAUCCUUGUUUGCCAGCGAGUAAUGUCGGGAACUCCAGGGAGACUGCCGGUGAUAAACCGGAGGAAGGUGGGGACGACGUCAAGUCAUCAUGGCCCUUACGAGUAGGGCUACACACGUGCUACAAUGGCGCAUACAGAGGGCGGCCAACUUGCGAAAGUGAGCGAAUCCCAAAAAGUGCGUCGUAGUCCGGAUUGGAGUCUGCAACUCGACUCCAUGAAGUCGGAAUCGCUAGUAAUCGUGGAUCAGAAUGCCACGGUGAAUACGUUCCCGGGCCUUGUACACACCGCCCGUCACACCAUGGGAGUGGGCUGCAAAAGAAGUAGGUAG
rnacentral:rRNA from 1 species